UACGUAGGGUGCGAGCGUUAAUCGGAAUUACUGGGCGUAAAGCGUGCGCAGGCGGCUAUUUAAGCUUGCUGUGAAAGCCCCGGGCUCAACCUGGGAAUGGCAGUGAGGACUGGAUGGCUAGAGUGUGGCAGAGGGGGGUGGAAUUCCACGUGUAGCAGUGAAAUGCGUAGAGAUGUGGAGGAACACCGAUGGCGAGGGCAGCCCCCUGGGCUAACACUGACGCUCAGGCACGAAAGCGUGGGGAGCAAACAGG
rnacentral:rRNA from 1 species